UCAGGCCUAACCCAUGCAAGUCGAACGGCAGCGCGGAGAGCUUGCUCUCUGGCAAAGAAUGGCGGACGGGUGAAUAACGCGUAGGAAUCUACCUUGUAGUGGGGGAUAGCCUGGGGAAACUCGGGGUAAUGCCGCAUAAUCUCUAAGGAGCAAAGCGGGGGAUCUUCGGACCUCGCGCUGCAAGAUGAGCCUGCGUUGGAUUAGCUAGUUGGUGGGGUAAAGGCCUACCAAGGCGACGAUCUAUAGCUGGUCUGAGAGGACGACCAGCCACACUGGGAGUGAGACACGGCCCAGACUCCUACGGGAGGCAGCAGUGGGGAAUAUUGGACAAUGGGGGAAACCCUG
rnacentral:rRNA from 1 species